UACGGGGGGGGCGAGCGUUGUUCGGAAUUAUUAGGCGUAAAGGGCGCGUAGGCGGUGUGGUAAGUCUGUUGUGAAACCUCCAGGCUCAACUUGGAGCUUGCAUCAGAAACUGCCGUGCUAGAGUGUGGGAGAGGAGAGUGGAAUUCCUGGUGUAGCGGUGAAAUGCGUAGAUAUCAGGAGGAACACCGGUGGCGAAAGCGGCUCUCUGGACCACAACUGACGCUGAGGCGCGAAAGCUAGGGGAGCAAACAGG
rnacentral:rRNA from 1 species